GACCGUCCAGAGUUGUAAGCUGGAGAGGUGUCGUCCGACGCGGUCCAGGCUCAAUUUCCUUGGAACAGGAGGUCAUGGAGGGUGAGAACCCCGUACAUGGCUUGGGCGCCGCCGUCCUUGUGACGCAUCCUCUAAGAGUCGGGUUGUUUGGGAAUGCAGCUCAAAAUGGGUGGUAAAUUUCAUCUAAAGCUAAAUAUGGGCGAGAGACCGAUAGCAAACAAGUAGAGUGAUCGAAAGAUGAAAAGUACUUUGAAAAGAGAGUGAAACAGUACGUGAAAUUGUUGAAAGGGAAGCGUUUGGCAUCAGCCCAUGGCGGUGGUACGAACAUCCUUGCUUCGGCAUGGUGCACUCGUCCACCGUUGGGCCAGCGUCGGCUCUGCCUGCCAGAGAAAGGCCUUGGGGAAGUGGCUCUCCCUUCGGGGAGCGUGUUAUAACCCAUGGUGUCAUGUGGCUUUGGCGGGGCCGAGGUCCGCGGUUUUGUCCUAGGACGCUGGCGUAAUGGUUCCAAGCGACCCGUCUUGAAACACGGACCAAGGAGUCUAACAUCUAUGCGAGUGUUUGG
rnacentral:rRNA from 1 species